AGUGAACGCUGGCGGUAGGCCUAACACAUGCAAGUCGAACGGCAGCACAGUAAGCGCUUGCUCUUACGGGUGGCGAGUGGCGGACGGGUGAGGAAUACAUCGGAAUCUACUUUUUCGUGGGGGAUAACGUAGGGAAACUUACGCUAAUACCGCAUACGACCUACGGGUGAAAGCAGGGGAUCUUCGGACCUUGCGCGAUUGAAUGAGCCGAUGUCGGAUUAGCUAGUUGGCGGGGUAAAGGCCCACCAAGUCGACGAUCCGUAGCUGGUCUGAGAGGAUGAUCAGCCACACUGGAACUGAGACACGGUCCCAACUCCUACGGGAGGCAGCAGUGGGGAAUAUUGGACAAUGGGCGCAAGCCUGAUCCAGCCAUACCGCGUGGGUGAAGAAGGCCUUCGGGUUGUAAAGCCCUUUUGUUGGGAAAGAAAAGCAGCAGGUUAAUACCCCGCUGUUCUGACGUUACCCAAAGAAUAAGCACCGGCUAACUUCGUG
rnacentral:rRNA from 1 species